GAUGAACGCUGGCGGCGUGCCUAAUACAUGCAAGUCGAGCGAACGGACGAGAAGCUUGCUUCUCUGAUGUUAGCGGCGGACGGGUGAGUAACACGUGGAUAACCUACCUAUAAGACUGGGAUAACUUCGGGAAACCGGAGCUAAUACCGGAUAAUAUUUUGAACCGCAUGGUUCAAAAGUGAAAGACGGUCUUGCUGUCACUUAUAGAUGGAUCCGCGCUGCAUUAGCUAGUUGGUAAGGUAACGGCUUACCAAGGCAACGAUGCAUAGCCGACCUGAGAGGGUGAUCGGCCACACUGGAACUGAGACACGGUCCAGACUCCUACGGGAGGCAGCAGUAGGGAAUCUUCCGCAGAGGGCGAAAGCCUGACGGAGCAACGCCGCGUGAGUGAUGAAGGUCUUCGGAUCGUAAAACUCUGUUAUUAGGGAAGAACAUAUGUGUAAGUAACUGUGCACAUCUUGACGGUACCUAAUCAGAAAGCCACGGCUAACUACGUG
rnacentral:rRNA from 1 species